UACGAAGGGGGCUAGCGUUGCUCGGAAUUACUGGGCGUAAAGCGCACGUAGGCGGCUUGUUAAGUCGGGGGUGAAAUCCUGGAGCUCAACUCCAGAACUGCCUUCGAUACUGGCGAUCUCGAGUUCGGGAGAGGUGAGUGGAACUGCGAGUGUAGAGGUGAAAUUCGUAGAUAUUCGCAAGAACACCAGUGGCGAAGGCGGCUCACUGGCCCGAUACUGACGCUGAGGUGCGAAAGCGUGAGGAGCAAACAGG
rnacentral:rRNA from 1 species